UGCAACUGAUCAAGCUCAACAAUGUCUGCACCACAUAUCACUUCCACCUCCUCCGUCUCCUACUCUCCAUUACCCAUCCCCCCUUCCACCCUCCAUUCCAAUCAUCACCAUCCACAUCCACAACUCUCUGCACGCCAAAAUGUAAUUCUCCAAUAAAUAUAACCAUAGCACCACCUCGUCCCUAAAUCUGUUCAGAAUCUAGUGAUUACCGUAUCUCUCUCCAUGGUGCACAUCUUAACCAUGUAGUCUCCACUACUUUACUACACAACAGAGUUCUGAAAAAAUCAAGUGGUAUCGGACAUUCCAAUUCCUACGCAACCAAAAUAAACACAGAAGACCGCCUCCUACCCACUGCUUCCUCUAACUCUCGGCCCUCCCCCUCCUCCCCUACCCCUUCUCCUACACCACACCUACUGGCAGGUCACUCCAUUCCCAUCCGACCACUCGAUCGGCUCCUCGCCGCCUGUGGCUCCACAUUUCUGGACCAUGGUCAUGCAGCCAAAAUCCUGCCGCCUUUACUUUAACACUAGGUCGACACGCCUGCGCCCAUCCCAACACAAUCCCAUCGUCAGCCCCGCAACACAAAUCCCGCCACAAAUCACCCUCCCACCACCACUUCCUUCACGCAUCGCACGCACCUACUACCCGCCCCACAUCUCUACCCAUCAUGCGCUACCUCGACACCGCUCUUACCACUACUCUCCACCAUCUAAGCACCCCCUCCCCUCCCCCCGCACCCUCCGACCCCCCAUCAACAUCCAUGCUGGUAAUAUUUGCGANNNNNNNNNNNNNNNNNNNNNNNNNNNNNNNNNNNNNNNNNNNNNNNNNNNNNNNNNNNNNNNNNNNNNNNNNNNNNNNNNNNNNNNNNNNNNNNNNNNNCGCCUCGCCCCACCGGCGUCGGCCCGUACCGGCUGUCCCCGCGCCCCCCGUAUCCGCUCCCUCCUCCCGGACUCCCACCCCCGUAUCCUCCCUGGCUGUACCCCGAUCCGUAGUUGCCCCCGCCGCGACCGCCUCCGCCGAACCCCCCGCCAGCCCGCCCCGACCCCGCCGACAGCUCCUUCGGAAUCGCCUUCUUCACCUCCACCAUCUUGUCGUUCAGCUCGUGGAACGACUUCUGGAUCACGUUCUCAACUGCAUCCUCAGAAUCAAAAGUGAUGAAGCCAAACCCCCGAGGCCUUUGCGUAUUGUGGUCAUACAUAACAACCACGUCUGUAAUAGUACCAAACUGCUCGAAAUACUUUUUGAAGUCAUCCUCUGUAACUGUCGAGGCUAAGCCCCCCACAAAUAUCUUCUUUGUCCUAGUGUGGGAUGUUGCAGGCCCUUGGCCACCCACGCUGUUGCUCCUAGGUAUACUCUGCUGUUCGUCUCUCGGCACAGCUUUUUUCGCUUCCACCUAGAAUGGGAAAAAAAAAUAUUUAACAAAGACACGCUACACAAAGUUAUACAACUGCCACACAACCUCAUGCCACCAACCACCAUCACCACACGCACUCCCGCAUGCCACCCCCCUCCCAUGCAUUCAACUCCACCUCGAUCCCCCUUCGCCCGACACCUACCGCCCCCCUCCCUCCCUCCCACCCUCGCGCCCUACCGCACUGACCUCACCACGCCACCGGCCCUCCCCUCCCCUCCCCGAGUCCAAGACAGAGCGCUUACCGUUCUUCCGUCGAUGGUGUGCUUCUCGCCGGCCACCCGAUCGGCCACGCUCGGGUCCGCGAAUAUCACGAACCCGAACCCCCGCGCGCGCCCCGUCGCGCGGUCCUUCAUGAUCACCGUCUCCGCCACCUCGCCAUAGCUCUUGAAGUAAUCGCGCAGCUUCUCCUCCGUCGUCUCCCAAGAGAUGCCGCCGAUGAACAGCUUGCCCUGAUCGGAGUCCAUGGCCGCCGACCCGUCCUGGUCCGCCAGACUUCCCGCCCUCCUAACUCCCGCUGAAAUGAUCAGAAAAAUCGGACUCCACAAAACCCAUAUGCCCCUCGCAUACACAGAGGCUCAAAUACCCUUACGACAAGAUCAAAACAAGAGCAGCGGCAUCGACAAUUCCCAUGCAACGCGCGAACCAACAGGCCGCGGCGUAGCAGGGGAGGGAGGGAGCGGACGCGAGAGCCUAGGGUUAGCAGGAGACUGGAGCUCCGAGGAGCACUGAUUCAAAGACGGGGAGAGGGAGGGGCAGCCAAGAAGGCAAGAGUCGCGACGGGAAGGGAAGGGGAGGGAAGGCCAGUCCCCCCCCCCCUGGCUUGGGUUUCGCGAACGUCGGGAUCGCAUGAAGAUUUGGGCAGGUUCAUUCAUUGAUUACCAUUUCCUCUUACGGGGCAUUCACGCAAUUCUUUGUGCUCUCGGGGCAAUUGUGAAGCACAAUCGCCCUUGAUCACGAAUUUCGCUCUGUCUGUCUAGUUAUGUUCUUUCUGGUAUUCCUUUUUGGGUGUUGGAGAGUAACGGCAUUUUGCAAAAAAAUUCAACAUUCAUAACAUUUCAUGGAACCAUUGUGGGUUUGCUUUUAUUAUAACUAGAGGAAUAAUAUCUUUAUUUCUUUGUCUACCAAGCUUAUUAAAUUACAAAGGAAUCACUAUAUAUAUAUAUAUAUAUAUAUAUCUCCAUUAAUUUUAUGUAUCAAAUAAAUUUAAACAAAGUAUUUUUGUAAAAAAUUAUACAAUUUUCUACAAUAUAGAUGGUAUGAUCAUUAAUGGAUUUUUUUCUUUAAAGAUUACAAAUGUUCAAAUUACAUUUUAAUUUUAAAAAAUAAUAUGUAUAUUAAAAUUAAGAUUUUUUAUUUUUAUUUUUUUAAUAUAUAUUUAAGUCUUUUAUAUUAUUUUCAUUAUGAAAAUAUAUAUUAAAUAUCAACAUAUGUUAUUAAAUUUUUGUAAAGAAGAAAUUUAAUAUAGUCAUUUUUGUAUAAAUGUCACAAACAUACAUAUUUAUUCUAAUAAUUACUUAUAUGAUUAAGUAGAAAUAAGUAAAUAUAGAUUAAUUUCAUAAUAUCUUCUAGAAAAGCUUCUUAGAAGCAUCAUAGAUAUGGUUUUGACUUUACAUGUGUUUGUAGUUAAUAGGUAGGUUAGAAAUUUUGUCAACAAGUUAACCACAAGCUAUAUAUACUGGUAGCUUAUGAAACAAGCUUAUUAUAUGGCACACAUAUAGAAAACUUACUUUGUAAGACAUAUGUCUAGCAAAGUCAAUACACAUUGGAGGACUUAUAGAACAUCGUGACAUAACUCUUAGUUAGAUAGUAUAUGUGGAGGUAAGAGUGAAGUCUUGCUUUACUCAUGUCAAAGCCUUUUUAGUUCUUUGUCCUAUUUUUAGACUUUUUAAUCUACUUGUCUUUAGCAAUAGCCAUUCUAGUUCAAUAUAUUACCAUCUUUGAGUGAUUUCCUAGUCUUUUCAAGUAGUACAAGAAUGUAUUGAGAUUCUCUUUCUUUGAGGUUCAUAUUCUUGAUAAUUUGAUAAAAGUGUUAACUUAUUAUUCUUGUCUUGUUUUAGAAAUGAGUAGUUUAUCCGACUUUUAUUAUUGUAUUUAAAAAAUUGUACCUAUAAACAAACCGUUUAGUUUUUUAAUAUUGAUUUUUUUCUUAAAAAAAGUAAUUUUUUUUUAUGGAAUUUUUUAUUUGAUAUUAAAGGUUGCAGAUUACCUUCUUCUAAUUUAACUUUUUGAAUUUGUUUGAGUUAUCUAUAAAAGAAAAAGAUUAUAGAUACAACUAUCAAUAAAAUUGAGAAUAGAUGUGUAUCAUGGACAUAUAUAUUCAUUCUAAUAUUUACUUAUAUGAUUAAGUAAAAAUAGAUAAAAGUAGAAUUAUUUCAUAAUAUUUUUUAGAAAAAGCUUCGUAGAAGCUUAAUGGAUGUUAUUUUCACUUUACAUAGGUUUGUAGUUGAUUGAUAGGUUAGAAACUUGGUCAAUAAGUUAACCUCAUGUUGGUAGCUUCAAAAAUAAGCUAAUUAUGUGGUCCACAUAUAGAAAACUUACCUUGCAAGUUAAGAUACAUAUCUUGCAAAGUUAAUACAUUUUGGAGGUCUUGUAGGACAUUGCCACAUAGCUCUUAGUUAAGAAUAUGUAUGGAAGCAAAAAUAAAGCCUUCUUCACUCUUAUCAAUGCCUUUCUAGUCUUUAGUCUUGUUUCAAGACUUUCUAGUCUUUUUAUCUUUGGCAAUAACCAUUCUAAUUUAAUACUAUAUCAUCUUUGAAUGACUUUCUAAUUCUUUUGAGUGAUAUAAGAGUGUAUUUAAGAUUUCUUUAUUUGAGAUUCAUAUCCUUGAUAGUUUAGCAAGAAUUCUAACUCAUUAUUCUUAUUUUUUUAGAAGUGAGUGGAAUAUCUCACUUCUACUAUUGUAUAUUAAAGGUUGCAGAUUAUCCACCUAUAAAUAAACAAUUUGAUUUUUUAAUACUAAUUUUUUCCUUAAAAAGAGCAGAUUAUCUUUCUUUAUGGAAAUUUUCAUUUUAUAUUAGAGAUUGUAAAUUACCUUCUUCUAAUUUAAUUUUUUAGAUUUAUUAAAUUAUUUAAAAUAGAAGGAAAAAUUAUAAAUGUCAUACUUAGCAGAAGUGAGAAUAUAUUUACAAAUAUUAUACAUCUUCACAAAUUUGUCAAUAUUCUUAGCAUGAAAAUUUUACACAUCACUAGUGCCAACCAAAGAAACAUUAAUCCUAUAUCUAUAAAAGAAGUUCAAAGUCUACAAUAAGAAGUUGUAUAGUUGAAAAAAAUAAGUAAAUUGACCUCACAACCAAGUCUAGAAAGUUUUGUUUCUAUAAGUGCAAUAAAGUCAAGGAUUAGUAUGCUCGAAAAGUUUGAUGGAAUAAGAUCAAAAUUUCACGGAUUUUUGCAAUAAAUCAAGCUCUAUCUAAGGUUGCAUUUCUUCUAAUACCUUAAUGGAUUUAUUCAAGUUGGAUUUAUAGACUCAUUUUUAUUUGGAAGUGCUUUCUUUUGCUUUACACCUUUGAUGAAAAAAGAUUUACAACUCCUUUAUGAUUUCAAUUCAUUCCUAGAAAUGUUUAUCGCCACAUUCAAAGAGAAUAAUUGAGAAAGAGUAGUAGAGACCAAGCUCUUAUUUUUAUGAUAAGAAUAAUAAUUAGCCACUAUAUAUGCUAUUUAAUUCCAAAACCUUGCAUACAACAUGGAUUGGAAUAAUAAAGCCUUUAUUAAUUGAUUUUGAUAUAGAUUGAAGUAAAAUGUCAAAAUUUUGUUAUUAACAAUAUCAAAAAUAAAAUCUUUGGAACAAUUUAUUGCUCAAGCCAUUGCAUAUGACAAUCAAAUAUUUGAAGGGCAUUAAGAAUAAAGAUUUGGUUGGAGAGGAAUAAAUCAAGUACUAACAACAGCUCCUAAGUUUUUUGAAACUUAUUCAUUAAGGCCAAAAUCAAUACAAAUUGAUAAGAUACAUUUUAAAUCUCUUAUUAAACAAAAACAAGACUUGUAGUUGUCAAGAAGGUUUGUAGCUAUAUUAUCAAGCAUACUAUUCAAUAUUAUCAAAAAAAACAACACAAUCAUAAAAUAAAGAGUAUGGUUGCCAAAGAAGAUGAUGUAUCAAAAAAUAAGUUUUUCCAACUAUAAUAAAGACCAUGUGGUUAGAAUCUUACACAAUUGUUAAUAAAUAUCCUAUUCUCUAUUUAAAUUCCUCACUUUAUUUUAAAAUAAAAGUAUUUUUAGGACCAUAAAAUCACAAAGUCUUAACCUUAUUAGAUUUUAGAAUCUUAUCAUGUUCUAUAAAUAAAGACUUUGUCAAAAAAUAAGAUAUAUCUUUAAUUAAGAAAAUCAAACCUAUACAUCUAGAAAUAAUAGAUGGUCGUUCAUUAUCUUUUAGAAAUACUACACAUAAAAUUAUUCCUAUAAAAGUAGCAACUAGUAUUUAUAAUAGUUUAAUAAUAUUUAAUGUCAUUAAAUUUUAUUUUAAUCUAAUUAUUUUAAGAUUAUCAUGAUUAGAUAGGUAUAAUUCUUAGAUAGAUUAAAUUUUUUGGGAUCUUGAUUUUUUCCAAAGUUUAGUUCAAGGUUCUACUAGGCAAGUAAAAAUCCAUAAGAUCAUUGCAUCCAAAUCAUUAUUUCUGAGUGCAAGAACUUUUAUACAUGCUGCAAAAAAAGGUUCAACUUUUGUUAUAUAUACCACACCUAUUUUUGACGGAAAAAAGAUUUUAAGUAGCAUUCCAAGCCAAUAUCAAGAUUAUUAAGAUAUCUUUUAAAAAAAAAAUGUAAAUAUUUUUUCAAAGCAUUAUUCUUAUGACUGUUCUAUUGAUCUUCAAGAAUGAGCUUAACCACCAUUUGAACCAAUCUAUAGCCUAUCAUAGAAUAAAUUAGUUUUGUUUAAGGAAUAUAUUCAUAAAAAUUUGGCUAAGAACUUCAUAUGCUAUUCUAAAUCUCCAAUUAAGUCUUCUAUCUUAUUUAUGAAGAAAAAAGAUAGAUCUCAAUAAAUGUGCAUGGACUAUCAAGGACUCAACAAGAUUACUAUAAAAAAAAUCCUCUAUUCUUGAUUUUAAGACUUCUUAAUUAACUAAAUUAAGCAAAGAUUUAUACAAAAUAGAUUUAUAUGGGGCAUAUAAUCUUGUAUGUAUUAAAAAAAGAGAUAAAUAGAAAAUUAUAUUUUGAAUAGAAUGUCAUAUCUUUUGGAUUCACAAAUGCACUAGUGUCAAGGACAAGAACUCAAUGAAAGCUAAAGAGUAAGUGAGACUUUUCUCAAAAAGAAAUAGGACAAAAUAGAAAUAUGUAUAUUAAGAAAGAAACUGGAAUGGCUAUUGCCAAAAUACAAGAAAACUAGAGACCCUUGAAACUAGACUAGAAGCAAGAAAGGAGUUGACAAGAGUGAAGAGGGCUUCACUCUUGCCUCUAUAUAUACUAUCUAACUAGAAGCCACGUGGCGAUGUUCUAUAAGACCUCCAAUAUAUGUUGACUUUCUAGGCCACAUGCCUUUGCUUGCAAGGCAAGUUUUCUAUGGAUGGACGACGUAGUUAGCUUGUUCUUUAAGCUUCCAACAUGUGUGGCACAUGGCUAACUUGUUGACCAAGUUUCUAACCUAAAAGUCAACUAUAGACUCCUAUAAAGUCAAAGCAGAGUCUAUGAAGCUUCUAAGAAGCUUCUCUAGAAGAUAUUAUACAAUUAACCUACUUUUAUCUACUUUUACAUACUUUUAUCUAUUCAUAUAGGUAAUUAUAUGUAUGUCCGUGACAUUACCCCCCCUUCUAGGGACGAGUUCCACGAGGAGCGGUGAUUAUAUAUUGAGAAAAUCUAAUAUGCGACGAAUUGUAUUUGCUACAUACUCUGAUCUUUGUUCUCUUCGAAGAUAGUUGAUGGGUCCUCUUAGCCAUCGAUAGUGUCCCAUUCCAGGGCGAGAAGACCACCCUGUUAUUUGAUCACUGUUGAGGCCUUCAUAACUUCCUUCAAAUAAUACAUUUGAAACACCAUCAGGAGUCGUUUCUAUCUCCAAUAAAAUCACCAAACAUCGAAAAUCUCUUCCAAGGUCGUGAUACCAAACGCGUUGUAUCUCACCAUCUAUUCGAGGAAGAACAUGUCGUUCUUGAGGGUCUUCAUCUCGGUUGCGUCGUCUUGAAGGUUGUGACAAUCGCAAUGUCUCAUCCGGUAAGUCAGCAAACGAAGGUUCUUGAGUUGAAUCCGCUUGUUGUUGGCUCUCCAUCUAAUUAGCGUCACAAAAUGCAAAGAAGUUACAAACAAGGAUAGGAAAUUGAAUGUUAUCUUGCCUCAAUCUUGUCUCUUUUAUAAGAGAGGUUUUCAUCUUGGUUUUGAUGGAUGUCGUUGAUGAAAAACUUUGACUUUAGUUGAUGCAUUUGCUAGAUUCCUGGAUGGCUCCCAUGUGCGCUCACUAAUAUCAUAUCCGCACCAAUGAACAAGAUAUUCCAGCUUAUUUCGGCGUCGCCUUGAGUCUAAUAUCUCUUCCACCUCAAAUUCUUCAUUAUUAUCUACUUCUAUAGGAGGCGGUGGCAUUUGUCUUCUUCCUUGUAUAUCCACUGUCUUAUAUGGUUCAAGAAGAGACACGUGGAAUACAGGAUGGAUCUUCAUUGACUCCGGUAGAUGUAACCGAUAUGCAACUGGGUUGAUCUGUUCAGAAACAAAAAAGGGGCCAAGCCUACGAUAGUCCAAUUUGUCACAAGGUCGAGUGGUCUUGAUAUUGCGACGAAGUAGCCAUACCUUAUCACCCACGUUGAGUUGUGGUUGCUCUUUACGAUAUACAUCUGCAUUUAUCUUUUGUCGUUCUUGAGCUUUCUUCAACUGCGCCUUCAUUAUUGCAUGUAACUCUGACAACCGAUUUGCCAUAUCUUCUGCUGCAGGAUUAUCAACUUUUGAAAAAUCAAAAGUAUCAAGUCGUGGAUGAUAGCCAUAAUUGGCAAAGAAAGGUGUUUGUUGCGUGGAGGAAUGUACCGUAUUAUUAUAAGCAAACUCUGCCAAUGGCAGAAGGUUUGUCCAAUCAUCUUGUUGGUAGUUGAUGGUACACCUUAAAUAUUGCUCCAAGACUUGGUUUACGCGCUCUGUUUGUCCAUCAGUUUGAGGAUGGAAAGCUGAAGAUAGCUUUAUGUCCACUUUUAAAAUCUUGAAAAGAGUCCUCCAGAAUCUCGACACAAAUUGAGUUCCCCUAUCCGAUAUGAUAUCUUUAGGUAAUCCAUGAUAGCGAUAGAUAUUAUCAAUGAAAAGCUUAGCUGUUUCUUCACCUGUGAUAGAUUUUGUACAUGGCAUAAAAUGUGCCAUCUUGGUGAAACGAUCUACUAUCACAAAUAUAGAAUCAUAAGAUCUUGAGUUUGGAAGAUCUGUGAUGAAAUCCAUAGAAACAGAAGACCAUGGUUGUUCUGGUAUAGGUAAUGGCUGAAGAAGUCCGUAAGGUCGAUGUCGAGGAAUUUUUGAUCUUGAACAAAUAUCACAUGAUUGUACAAAGUCUUUGACUGACUUCCACAUUUGUGGCCACCAAAAAUCUCUUGAUAUGAGUUCCAGAGUCUUAUUAUAUCCAAAGUGCCCUGCUGCUGGAAAGUCAUGACGUGCUUGAAGAACACGCAAACGUGCUUUUCCUUCUGGAACAUAUAGGCGUCCUUCAAAAUAUAAUAGAUUAUUCUUGAACUCGAACUUAGAAGAAUCAUGAGACUUGGAAGAAUUAUUCUCGAUAUCAUGAACAAGAGGGUCUGAGGACAUACUGGACUGGAUUUGCUUGAGAAAAGUUGAAUCAACAGUCAAUGUUGAUUUCACUGCUCGGAGAUGAAAUUGCUCUGGUUUCAAGAGGACCGUUCUUUGUUGCUCAAAAGCUGCAUCUCCUUCUUUUGGUGCAAAAUAAGAACGUCUAGACAGGGCAUCAGACAAACCUUGUUGUUUUCCUGGCCGAUAAGUGAUAAUGAAGUCGAAUCUUGACAAAGACAUACUCCAACGAGCUUGACGACGAUUCAACACGGGUGCUGACAUGAAAUACUCGAGGUUCUUGUGAUCUGUAUACACAGUGAUUGGACUAGAAGCACCUUCUAAAUAAUGACGCCAUUCUUGAAAGGAAUCCACGAUUGCAAGAAGUUCUUUAUCGUGGAUCUCAUAAUUGAUCUCGGCUGCUGAGAAUUUUCUUGAAUGAAAAGCUAUCGGAUGAAGUUUGUCAUCUGUUCCCAUUUGUGAUAAAACUGCACCCAAGGCAAAAUCCGAUGCGUCUGUUUCCAUAAAAAAUACCUUGGAAAAGUCAACACGAUAUAAGACUGGUGCAGAGACAAACGAUGUCUUCAAGGCUUCAAAUGCUGCUUCCGCUUCUUGAUUCCAUUGGAAUUUAUCUUUACUAGUCAAGCGUGUAAGUGGAGCUGCAACUCGUGAGAAGUCUUUGAUGAAGAUCCGAUAGUAAUUGGCAAAUCCCAAGAAACAUUGGACAUCUCUUACAGUCUUUGGAAUCUUCCAAUCCAUGAUUGUUUGGACUUUCUUAGAAUCCAUCAUAAGACCAUCAUUUGAAAUGAUGUAUCCUAAAAAGUCAACUUGAGUAGUGUGAAAUACACACUUUUCCAUCUUGGCGUACAAUCCUGCAUCUCUGAGUUUUUGUAAUACUUGACGAACAUGUAUUUCAUGUUCUUCAACAUUCUUAGAAUAAAUCAGGAUAUCGUCUAGGUAGCAGACGACAAAAUUGUCUAAGAAUUCACGAAAUACAUCAUUCAUGAGAUGUUGAAAAGCAGCUGGUGCAUUCGUGAGUCCAAAAGGCAUGACAUUAUAUUCAAAAUGCCAGUACCUGGUUCGAAACGCAGUCUUCCAUUCAUCUCCUUCUUUGAUCCGUACUAGAUUAUAUGCUCCUCUUAGAUCUAUUUUUGUAUAGAUCUUAGCUUGAUUUAACUGGUCAAGGAGUCCUGAUAUCAAAGGUAAUGGAUACCUGUUCUUGAUUGUGAUCUUGUUGAGUCCUCGAUAGUCAACACACAUUCGUAAAGAUCCAUCUUUUUUCUUUACGAAUAAAAUUGGAGCUCCUGCUGGAGAUUUUGAAUGGCGUAUGAAAUUCUUCGCUAAAUUCUCGUCAAUAUAUGUCUUGAGUUCAGCCAACUCAUCUUGCGAUAAACUGUAAAUUGGUCCAAAUGGUGGCUGAGUUCCUUCCUUGAGAUCGAUUGAACAAUCGUAUGGGCGAUGCUCAGGAAGAAUAUCUGCAUUCUUUUUCUCAAAAACGUCUUGAUAAUCCUGAUAUUGACUUGGAAUGCCACUUGAAGUCUUUACGUUUUCAGAAAUAGGUGCAGCAUAAAUAGCAAAAGUUGAUCCUUCUUUUGCUGCGUGUAUAAAUGCUUUUGCACCUAUAGGUGCGAGUUUUACUAUACUAGACUCAUGGUUUUUUACUUGGUUAAUAGAACUGUUACUAAUGCUCUGAGGAAAAUCAAGUUUACGCGAAAUCCAAUCUAUUCGAGGAUUAUACUUUUCUAACCAUGAUAAGCCUAAAAUUACUGGAUUAGAGGGAGAUCUAAUUAUAUUAAAAAUUACGCAACUACUAUGACCAUUUAUUACUACAUCUACAGGAAGUGUUUCGUGAGUUACAUCUCCAGAAGACAACGGACGACCAUCUAUGACUUCUACGUGUACAGGUUUAGUUUUUUGUAUUAAUGAUAUUCUAUGACAUCUAGCAAAUUCUUCAUCUAAAAAACAAGAUGAGGCUCUUGAAUCUACCAAGGCAGAGGCUUUGUAAUUAUUAGGUCCUAAACGCACAUCUAUUAUAAAACAAGGAGAUGGUUCUGAGGAGAGGAUAGGACCUUCAUUAGAAGUUGUACAAGAUUCCAGCCGCACGGUCCCUAUUGUAGCUGGACGUACUCGUUUUCCGACAUACUGUCUUCUUUGACAGCCGUACUCCUCAUUUUGUAGUUACGUCGCUUCUUUGGACAAUGUUGAGCAGUGUGCUUAGGUUCUCCACUAUAUAAGCACAAUCCUUCUUGUCGACGACGAGACUUUUCUUGCUCAGUAAGAGGUUUGAAACGUACCGCAUCAAUUUGCAUAUCCUCUACUUCUGAAGGUAUGUGUUGAGGAGACGUCGGUGUUGCCAUUGAAUUGUAGUAACGUUGAGGCCCACUUGUGCGACUCUCGGAUCAAAAUUCAAAAAGUCGAUUGUCGCACUUCACAGCAAAGUCAAUUGCUUGACUCAAUGUUUGAGGAUCAGGUAAAUUAAGCAUCAAUUUCUUUACCUCAUAUUGUAAUCCGUAGAGAAAUUGACUCACAAGUGCGGCAUCAUCCCACUUGAUAUCAGUUGCAAGUUGUCGAAAUUGCGAAGCAUAUAAUGUUACUGAUCGAUUGCCUUGUCGCAAAAUACGGAUCUUGUUGGUUGCAACACGAAUUGCAUCAUGUUCUCCAAACAUGGAUCGAAACUCCGCCAAAAAAGCCUCCAGAUUAUCCAAUAUUGGAUCUCGUCGUUCAAGAAAAGAUGAAAACCAUGACAAUGCUGAACCUGAAAGAAGUGUACCAAUGAAUCUAACUUGUGACCCUAGAGUUGGAUAGCUCUGGGGUUGAAGUUCAAUCACUAGUUGGACCUGAUUGAUGAAUCCUCGAAACUUGGAUCUGGUACCAUCAAACUUCUCGGGCAAGGCAACUCUCGGUUCUCUAACACUCGAACGGUGUUCCAUUCUGGGAGAAGGGACAUGGUUUGGUGCAGAUGUUGAAGCAGCCCCAAUCAUCUCUAUAUCUUCACUUCCUACCAUUCUUGUUGCUCCUUGUGGUGGAAAAUUGAGUUGAUGCAUCGCAAGCAUUAACUCCCUCAAUUGUUCUUGCAUCUGUGCCAUUGCACUCUUCAUUUCAACAAGCUCUGCCAUAGUAGCACUUAGAAAAGAGAAGAUGUCUAAUAACGCUCAAAACAAAUAGAAGAGAGGAAUUGAUAACAAAGAAAAUACUAAGAACAAUAUCAGUUUAAAAGAGGGUAAUCCGCAACUUCUAAUGCGCUUAUGUCUUAUCAAAAAAAAGGGGUAAUCCACUCUUAAUCAAGAAAAGACAAAGCUCUGAUAUUGUAAGUGCACUCUUGUCAAUUUGUCAAGGACAAGAACUCGAUGAAAGCUAAAGAGUAAGUGAGACUUUUCUCAAAAAGAAAUAGGACAAAAUAGAAAUAUGUAUAUUAAGAAAGAAACUGGAAUGGCUAUUGCCAAAAUACAAGAAAACUAGAGACCCUUGAAACUAGACUAGAAGCAAGAAAGGAGUUGACAAGAGUGAAGAGGGCUUCACUCUUGCCUCUAUAUAUACUAUCUAACUAGAAGCCACGUGGCGAUGUUCUAUAAGACCUCCAAUAUAUGUUGACUUUCUAGGCCACAUGCCUUUGCUUGCAAGGCAAGUUUUCUAUGGAUGGACCACGUAGUUAGCUUGUUCUUUAAGCUUCCAACAUGUGUGGCACAUGGCUAACUUGUUGACCAAGUUUCUAACCUAAAAGUCAACUAUAGACUCCUAUAAAGUCAAAGCAGCGUCUAUGAAGCUUCUAAGAAGCUUCUCUAGAAGAUAUUACACAAUUAACCUACUUUUAUCUACUUUUACAUACUUUUAUCUAUUCAUAUAGGUAAUUAUAUGUAUGUCCGUGACAACUAGCUACUUUUCAACAUCUAACAAAUGAUGUCAUUUAUGAAUUCUUUGAUGAUUUUAUCAUCUAAUAUUAUAAUAACAUCUUAAUCUAAUCUAAAAACACAAAAGAGUAUGAAGUUUAUAUUUGUUGUUUAUUACAAAAACUAAAAGAUACAAGAUUAUAUGCAAAGAUGAAAAAGUGUGUAUUUUACACUACUUAAGUUGAUUUUUUUGGAUAUAUCAUUUCAAAUGAUGGUCUUAUGAUAGAUUCUAAGAUGAUUCAAACUAUCAUAGAUUAGAAGAUCUCAAAAAUAAUCAAAAAUGUACAAUAUUUUUUGAAAUUUGAAAAUUAUUAUCAAAUCUUCAUCAUGAACUUUUUUCAAGUUGUUGCUCCUCUUAUAUGCCUAACAUAUAAAGACAAAAUUGAAUGGAGGAAAGAAGUUGAAGGAUCUUUUGAAGCCUUAAAGACAUCAUUUAUUUUAGUAUUAAUUUUAUAUUGUGUCAACUUUUUAAAAGCAAUCUUUAUAGAAAUAAAUACAUCAAACUUUGUCAUGGAUGUUGCUUUCUCAUAAAGAGGAGCAAAUCACAAGCUCCAUCUAGUAGUUUUUUAUUCUAAGAAAUUUUCAAUAGCCAAGAUUAAUUUUGAAAUCCAUGACAAAGAGUUUUAUUGCAAUUUUGGAUUUAUUUCAAAAAUGGCAUCAUUAUCUAAAAUUUUCUUCUAGUCCAAUUAUUGUAUAUGAAGAUCACAAGAAUCUUGAAUAUUUUAUGUCAACACAUGUUUUGAAUUAUCACAAAGAUUGUUGGAGCAUGUCUUUAUCAAAAUUUGAUUUUAAGAUUACUUAUCAAUCCAAAAAAAUAAAAAUGUUUGUCAAUGGCCCUUUAUAAACCUUCUUAUCUUACACUAAAAGAAGAAGAUACAACUUUUGAUCAACAAAGAAUAAUUCGCUUAAAACUAGAGCAUUUUCAUCUUUAAACAAUAUAAUCAAUAUUGACUAUUGAUUCAUCUUUUGUCAAACAAAUUCAAUUAAGUAUGUCUUUCAAUCCUCUUCUUCAUGAUAUCAAGAAUAAUUCUUUUAAUUCUCAAAAUACUUUCAAGUUUGAAUUUAAAAAUAAUCUAUUCUAUUUUAAAAAAUAAUUAUAUAUUCUAAAAAGCAAAGCACGAUUACAUAUAUUUUAAAUUUGUUAUAACUUUUUAAUAAUCAAAUAUUUUGGAUAUAAUAAAAUUUUAAAGCUAAUAUUAAGAGAUUUUUGGUGGCUUCAAAUGCAAAAGGAAAUUAAAGACUUUCUACAAUCAUGUUAUAUUUGUUCAGGAUAAAAAACUCCUUGUUAUUGACUUUAUGGACUUUUCUAGCCAUUACCUAUUCCACAACAAUCAAGGUCUUUUGUUUCAAUGAAUUUUAUUAAAAAUAUUUUAAUUUCAAGUUUGUAUGAUUUUAUAUUUAUUAAAGUAGAUCAUUUUACUAAAAUGUCACAUUUUAUACUAUGUAUAAAAUAUAUCACAUGUGAAAAAAAUAGCUAAGCUUUUUCUUAAUAAUAUCAAUUACUAUCAUGAAUUGUCUAAAGAUAUUGUAUUGAAUAAGACUCAAUUUGUAUCAAGAUUUAAGAAAAUUAUUUUAAAUAUUCUAAAGUUAGAUAUAAAGCUUUUUUUGACUUUUUAUUCUUAAAUUGAUAAAUAAAUAGAACAAGUGAAUGAAGUUCUAAAGUAAUAUUUGAAGUAUACCAUCAACUAUCAUCAAGAUGAUUGAACAACUCUUUUGCUAUUGGUGGAGUUUGUAUAUAAUAAUUCAAUAUAUUCUUCUAUUCAACAAAUACAUUCUUUUUUAAUUAUGGUUGUUAUCCAUGACUUGAUACUUUUGACUUUUCAAAAGUUAAUAAUCAUGCAACAAAAGAUUUAGUAAAUUAUUUGUCAAAGCUAUAUACAACAAUGAAGGCAAAAUUAACAAAAAGAUAAAAAUAAUAAAAGAUCAAUGUGGAUGCCUAUUGCAAGGAAAAACUACAAUUUAUUGUAGGUGAUAAGAUAUGACUACUUCAUUGCAUUAUCAAGACUAUUCAUCUUUGUAAUAAGUUGGACUAUUGUAGGCUUUGAUCUUUUUCUACUUAUAAAUAAGUCAAUCUUAUUCCUUAUCAAUUACAUCUACUGGAGUCUAUGAAGAUCUUAUCAUGGACAUAGGCAUGUAAGCCAAUAAUUACAUGUAUAAAUAGGUAUAAGUAAGUAAAAGUAGGUAAAAAUAAGUUAAUUCUAUAAUAUUUGGUAUAGAAGAUUCUUAGAAGCUUCAUACACAUUGCUUUGACUUUAUAGGUGUUUUUAAUUGACUUUUUGGGAUUAAAAACGUGGUCAAUAAGUUGGCCAUGUACCACACAUAUUGUUAGCUUGAAGACCAAGGUAACUAUGUGGCCCACACGUAGAAAAACUUGCCUUGUAAGUCAAGGCAUGUGUCCUACAAAGUCAACACAUAUUGAAGGUCCUGUAGAACAUUGCCACGUAGCCUUUAAUAAGAUAGUAUAUAUAAAGACAAGAGUGAAGCCUUCUUUACUCUUGUCAACUCUUUUCUUGCUUCUAGUCUAGUUUCAAGGGUCUCUAGUUUUCUUUUGGCAAUAGCUAUUCCAGUUUCUUUCUUAAUAUACAUAUUAAGUUAUUUCUAUUUUUUCAUCUUUCUUUGAGAGUAGUCUCACUUAUUUAUUUGACUUUAUCAUGUUUUUGUCCUUGACACAUCUAUUUCAUAUUCUAUAUAUAUAUUUUUUUAGCCAUAUAAAAUAAUGAACAUUUUAAAAUGAAGACAAAUGCUACCACGUCCUAUAAAAGUGGAUAUUAAUCAAGACUUCAAGGUGGAAGAAGAUUUAUAUUCAAGGUGAUGCCAAAAUAUAGUGUCUCAAAAUAUAUUAUUUUAAUGUUGACAUAUUUUAGAAAGAAUAGUAUAUUACAAAUGAAUUGUAGUGAAUAAUGACAUGUGGUUUGUAUAGCAAAUAAAGUAUUCUUUUAUAGCUAUCAAAUGAGCCCAAAUUAAAAAGAAUCCAUUAAAUAAUUAGAAAGCUAUGACCAAUCUAAUUUAGAAUACUAUUAAAAUAAUUUUUUGAAUGUAGGAUCUAAUUUUUGGAUUCUAUCAAUUACUCAAUAUUAUAAUAUUCUAUCAUUAUUAGAUUUACUAUAAAAAUAUUAUUAUUAAUCUAAUAACAUCAUUAAUGCUCACUAGCAGUUAUAAAAGUACCAUUCUUAAUCACAAUUUCUAGUAUGGACGUAUUUCAAAUUAUCACAUUUUAGUACCUUCUAAAAUCUUCUACAAUAUUUUAAAAAAUUCCAUAGGCUUUUGGAAGCCUCUUUAGACUUCUAAAAGCUUCUAUAGAUUUCUAAAAACUUCCAUAGAAAAUACCAUAGACUUUUAUAACCUUCAUUAUAGUAUAAAUAGAAGUUUUUUGAACCACUUUUGCUAUUAAUAUUAUUCUUUGUCUUUAAUCUUGAAAUAUUUCUUUAUCAAAUCCUUGAUAAUUCUUUAAAUAACUUUGAGAUAUAUUUUUUACUCUUUCCAAGACAACAUCACAUCUACACUUCUUUAUUCUCAAAAAUCUUAUGGCCAAAUUGCUUCUGAACUUAGCUGCUAUAAAGCUAUUAUCUCUAGGGUAGCAAAAAAGAUUACUUUUAAUUAGGCAGAUCAAAGAAAUUCACUGCAGUAGAUAAAAAGGCAAUUAUUUUCCAAAUCAACUCUUAAAAGGCUGAAAAUAUUAUUGAGGUUGCUAAAAAAUUUAACAAUAUUAUCAGUAAUCUCCUACCAAUUCAAACCAUUCAAAAUAUUCUUAAGAAAUGGAAUAUGAAAGUUGUUGUGAAAAAAAAAAAAAAAAUCCACUAUUAUUUACUUACUAUUGAAAAUAAUGCUUGGAUUUUGCUUUAAAAUACAAGGAAUGGACUAUGGAAAAUUGGAAGAAGAUUAUUUGAUUAGAUGAAAAAAAAUCAACAGAUUUUGAUCAGAUGGCAAAAAGUGGAUGUAGAAACAAAAGGGUCAAUUCUUACUUGACAAGAAGAUCCAAGAAACAAUUAAGCAUAGAAGUAGAAAUAUAAUAGAAUGAGAUUAUAUGAGAUGGAAUGGAAUUAAAAAGAUAGCAUAGGUUGAGUGAAAUAUGGAUGCCAAGCAAUUUGUAGAAAUUCUUGAAAAAGAAUCUGCUCCCUAAAAUUUAAGAAUCUCGCAUAUAUGAGGAAGAGGUAAAUUUUCAGCAAGAUAAUGACCUCAAGCAUAACUCAAAACUAACAAAAAAGUGGUUUGUUCAUCAUAUGAUUAAAUUAACAAAUUGACAUAUUCAAUCUCUUGAUCAUAAUUCCAUUGAACAUCUUUGGGAGCACCUCAAAUGCCUACUCAACAUUUGGAAGAUAAAAUCAAUGGAAGUUUGGAAAUUAUGAAAAAAAAAAUUGUAGAAUGAAAUAAUAUUGAAGCAAUUUUGUGCCAAAAGUUAAUAAAAAGUAUGUAUAGGAGGUUGGAAGUAGUUAUCAAGGCCAAAGUAGGUCUUACAAAGUAUUGAUAUAUAUUUGGAUACCACAUUCAAAAAAAUAUUUCAAUACUAUUCCAAAUUAGAUUGGUCAUAGUUUUACAAUUACCUAAUGGAUUUUUUUCAAUUUAUACUCAUUUGAUAGCUGUAAAAGAGUAUUUUAUUUCCUAUACAAAUCAUAUCUCAUUAUUUAUUACAACUCAUCUAUAAUACAUCAUUCUUUUUAAAAUAUGUCAACUUUGAAAUAAUUUUUUAAAUCAUUGUAGGUUAGAAUAUCUUGUUCAUUGGCAUGGAUAUGAUAUCAAUGAAUGCGCAUGGGAGCCAACAAGUUUUUUUGCAAAUGCAAAAAAAAAAAUUGAAGCUUUUUAUUAAUAAUAUCCAUUAAAAUCAAGAUUAAGAAUAAAAAAAAUUUAUUAUAAAAGAAACAAGAUUAAAAAAAUAUAGCAUUCUACUUUCUAUUCUUGUUUGUAAUUUUUGUACAUUUGUGAAAUUAAGAAAAUAGAGAAUCAAAAACCAAAAAAUUCAACUCAAGAGCUAUUAUUUAUUGACUUAUCAGAUGAGAUAUUGUAAUUGUUAUAACCUCCAAGAUGACAUAAUCAAGAUAACACAAUCAGAAUGAAGAUCUUUAAGAAUGAUACGUUUUUCUUUGAAUAGAUGGCAAGAUGUAACAUGUUUGGUAUUACAAUAUUAUAAGAGAUUCUUGAUGUUUGGUGGUUUUAUUAGAAAUAAGAAUGACUCUUAAUGGUAUUUUAAAUUUUUUAUUUGAAAAAAAUUACAAAGGCCUCAACAAUUUUCAAAUAAUAUGGUGGUCUUUUUUGCCUUGAUAUGAAAUACUAUCAAUGGUUGAAAAGACCUAUCAACCAUCUUCAAAGAGAACAAAGAUCACAGAAUGUGGUAAUCACAAUUUGUCACAUUUUGGAUUUCUUCAAUAUGUGAUAAUUGCUCCUUGUCGAUUUUAUUUCCAAAAAAAGAGAUAAUAUCAUAGACAUACAUAUUUAUUUAUAUGAUUAAAUAAAAGUUGAUAGAUAUAAAAUUAUUUCAUAAUAUGUUUUAAAAAAAAUUCCUAGAAGCUUUAUAAAUGUUGCUUUGAUUUUAUAUAUAUUUGUAAUUAAUUGGUAGGUUAGAAAAUUGUUCAAUAAAUUAACCAUAUCUUGAUAGCUUACAAAACAAGCUAAUUAUAUAGUGCACAUAUAAAAAACUUGCCUUGCAAGUUAAGAUAUGUGUCUUACAAAGUCAAUAUGUUUUGGAGGUCCUAUUAGGCAUUGCUACAUAACUCUUAUUUAAGAGCAUAUACAAAGGCAAGAGUGAAGUCUUCUUCAUUUUGAUUAAUGCCUUUCUUAUCUUUCAUCUUGUUUCAAAACUUUCUGAUUUUCUUGUCUUUGAUAAUAUUCAUUUUAGUUUAAUGUUAUAUCAUCUUUGAGUGAUUUUUUAAUUCUUUUGAGUGACAUAAGAGUGUAUUUAGGAUUUCUUUCUUUGAAUUUCAUGUCCUUGAUAAUUUGAAAUUGUUAUAGAUCUUCAAAAACUUGUCAAUAUUCUAAAAUUAGAAAUCUCAUAUAUUUUCAAUAUGAAUUAUGAAGUAUUAUUUUUACGCAUAUGGAACAAAUUAACAAUGAAGUUCAAAGUCUAUGCCAAGAAGAAAGAUCAAGCUUAUAACUAAAUCCAAUUUUUUUUUGCUACUACAAGUAUAAUAGAAGCAAUAAUAAAUAUGGUCAAGAAAUUUGAUGGAAAAAAAUCAAAGUUUUAAGGAAUUCUACAAAAAUAUAAAAUUCUAAGGUUGCAUCUUUUCUAAUAACUUGAUUGAUUUACUCAAAUUGGAUUCAUUAAAGUCUUUUUUUUUACAAAUGUUAUUGUAUUAUAUGAAGUCUAUUUAAUAAUUUACCAGAUACAUUGUUGUAGAAAAAAAAAAUAGAACUUACAACAAGAUGAUCCUAACAACUCUAAUAAAAUCCUUAAAAUAAUUUAAUUAAAUUAUAAAAAUAUUAACCAAUCUUUAAUUAAAUCCACAAAAAGUUUCAAGAACUUACAAAAGAAAUAUAAAAAAAUCAUAAAUUAAUCUUAAUAAAAUACAUACAAUAAAAAAAUCUUAAAAAAUAUCAAAAUAAUAAAUCUUAAUUGAAUUUUAAUUAAAUACUAAUGUAAUCUUCCAAAAUUUUAAUAAAAUUUUAGACUAAUUUCAACCAAAACUUUAAUGAAAUCCUAAAUUUUUAACAAAUCUUAAUCAAAUUUUAAACAAAUUUUAAUCAAAUCUUAAUCAAAUCUUAAUCAAAUCUUUAAAAAAUCCUAAUAAAAUCCUAAGUAAAUCUUAAAUUCUAAUCAUAGAUCAAAUUCUAAUAAAAUCAUAAUAAAUCCUAAAAAAAUCCUAAAUCUUAACUUCAGACCAAAUCCAUAUGAAAUCUUAAACUUUAAACAACUUAAGAAAAUUUCAAAUAAAUUUCAUUCGAUUAUUAUAGCUAAUUGAAACCUCAAUAAAUAUUAAUUGAACCAUAUAUCUUGACUAAAAUUUUACUUAUACUUCAACCAAUAAACAAUUAAGAAACAUAUAAAAUUUAAAAAGAAUCAAACUUAUCAAUUAUAAGAAAAGCUUCCAAAACUUCUUAGUUAUUGAUGGCCUUUCUUCUCCCACUUGAAUGCUGAUCUUUUAACAUUGAUUUUUCCUUAUUGAAUCAAUUUAUUUUUCCAAAUAUUGGAUUUUAUGUAUAUAUUCAAGUCUUAAGUGCUUUCACCAAAUUUUGCUUCAAUUUAAUCAGCUAAUAUUGAUAGAUAUUGAAAUCAUUUGCUAAUCCUAAAUCUCAUUUUUUAAAAACUAUAAUCCAUAAAAAUUAUUAUAUUCUUCAAUCUAAUAUCUUCAUUGACUUCAAACAUUUCACAUACAUUUACAACAAGUACAACAAAAAAAAUUCCAAUUUUUAUUAAUACACAUACUAUAAAACUCACAAAAUCUUAAAAUUUGUAAAUUUAUUUUACUUUUUAAAAUAUAAAUCUAUCAAGUACAUCAUUAACUUUGAAAAGCCCUCAAAAUAUCAAUAUUAAUUUUAAUAACAUGAAACCAACACUCAAACCUCUUCUCUCAAGUGUGCUUUCAAAGCUUAUUCUUUAAUUUGCAAAAAAAUGUGAAGUCAUUGUAGGUGCUCGAUUUUUUGCCUUGGAGUCUAAUUUUGACCUUGGUUAUCAAUUGAUCCUCUACAAGUAUCAAUUCUUAUCUUCUUAAGGUAAUUUUUUCUAAUAUCAACUUCUAAUUUUUUUUUAUAUAUGUCUAUAUUCUUGAUUUCUCUUAUCUAUCUUAUUUUGCCUUAUUUAUGGUUCUAUAAAAUAAAUAGAAAUCAUUUUUAUAAAAAAUAAUUCUAAUACUAAUAGAUUUUAUUACUUGCCUAUCAUUUAUCUAUAUUUUUACUAUAUAUUUUUAUUUAGGUUCUUCUAUAAUAAAAUAUUUUCCUUCUUCUUUCACUUUAUGGCCCUAUUAUUAUACAAUAGUGCUCUUUCUUCAUUUGUACCUUUGAUAGAAAAAGAUUCAUGGCUAUUUAUGAUCUGAAUUUAUUUUUAUAAGUAUUUAUGGCUAUAUUUAUAAAAAAAAUUUGAAAAAAGGUAGCAAAGUACAAGCUUGUAUCUCUACAAUAAAGAUCAUAUUUAGCCACUACAUAUAUUGUUGAAUUUCAAAAUCUUACUUAUGACGUGGAUUGGAAUGAUAAAGCCAUUAUUAAUCAAUUUUGAUAUAAAUUGAAAGAUGAUAUUAAAUAUUUAUUUUUGAUAAUACCAAUAAUAGAUUUAUUAGAGUAAAUUAUUACUCAAGUCAUUGUAUAUGAUAAUUAGUUUUUUAAAAGAUACUAAAAAUAAAUAUUUGAUUAAAGAUGUACAAAUUAAGCCAUAGAAAUGUUUUUAAAAUUUUUGAAAGCUUAUUUAUUAAGGCUAGAGUCUAUGCAAAUUGACAAGGUAAAUUUUAAACCUCUUACUGAGCAAGAAAAGAUUUGUCAUUGUUAAGAGAGUUUAUACUUAUAUUGUGUAGAAGCUAGGCACACUACUUAAUAUUUUCUAAAGAAGCAACGCAAUCACAAAAUAAAGAGCAUGGUUGCCAAAGAAAACAAUAUGUUGUAAAAUAAAUUUUUCUAGCUACAAUGAUGACCAUGCAACUGGAAUCAUGUACAACACUUAGUACAAGUCUUAUUCUUUCAUUAGAUCUCUCAUCUUUUUUUACAAUAGAUAUAUAUUUAGGACCAAAAAAUCACAAAUUCUUAGCUUUGUUAGAUUAAAGAGCCUUAUUAUGUUUUAUAGACAAAUAUUUUGUCAAAAAAUAAGAAAUAUUUUUAGUUAAAAAAAACCAAACUUGUAUAUGUAAAAGUAAUAGAUAAUUUCUUUUGUAGCUAUAAAAAAAGACUCAAUUUUUGUUAUAUAUGCCACACCUAUUAUUGUUGAAAAAAAGAUUUUAAAUAAUAUUUCAAGCCAAUAUCAAGAUUAUUAAGACAUUUUGAAAAGAAAAAUAUAGAUACUCUUUUUAAACAUUAUCCUUAUGAUUAUUUUAUUUAACUUCAAGAAAAAGCUCAACCACAAUUUAUACCAAUCUAUAACCUAUCAUAGAAUAAGUUGGAUGCACUCAAGGAGUAUAUUGAUGAGAAUUUGGCUAAGAAUUUCAUAUGCUAUUGUAUUCUAUGAAGUCUUGCUCAAGAAUGCAUCAGUCACCUAGCUAUAGAAGAUAAAAUCAAAAUUACUACAACAAAAUCUUAACUCUAAUAGAAUACUAAAUAAACUCUAAUUAAAUCUUACUAAUGUUAAACAAGAUUUGAUCAAAUUUAAAAGAAAAUUUAAAGUAAUUACAAUAGAAAUAAUAAGAAAUCUUAAUGGGAUUAAAAGAAAAUCCUCCAUAAACCUUAAAUUUUUUUUAAAGAAAUCCUAAAAAUAUUAGAAUAAUUACAAAUAUAUCUUAAAUAAAUCUCAAAAAAGUUCCAAUUUAAUCCUUGUUGAAAUCUUAAUGAACUUCAAUCAAAAUCUAAACAAAUCCUAAAUUCUAAACGAAAUUCUAGACAAAUCCUAAACACUAAAACAAAUUCUAAAAAAAUCCUAAAUCCUAAAUCAAAUCCUAGAAAAAUUCUAAACCAUAAACCAAACCUUAGAAAAAUCUUAAAUCCUAAAUCAAAUCCUAAACUAAAUCCUAAUUCUAAAGCAAAUCGUAACCAAACCUUAAUCAACUCAAUCUAAUUCUAUUACUGUUUAAAACCUUAAUAACUAUCAAUUGAGUUAUUGAUAUUGCUUAAAAAUUUACAUACUUCUCAAAAAUUAAAUUAGUAAUAAGUAUAUGAAAUUUGAAGAUAAUCACAUAUACCAAAGGGAAGAAAAAUCUUAAAAUUUUCUCGAGUAUUGGUUGGCCUCCUACUCCAAUCUAAAUGUUGAAAUUCCAGUGCCAAUAUCUCUCUUUUAAACCAAUUAAUUGUUCUCAAAUUUCACAUAUGUAUAACAAAUCAAGUCUAUUACUUUUAUAAAUAAAUUUUACUCCGAUUCAAGUAGUAGAUUGCUAAAGAUCUUAGAAACUCUAACUGCCUUUUAAAGUCCAAUUUUUGAGAUCUCAACCUACUUGAAAUUCAAUAACCUUCAAUUCAAUAAUUUUAUCAAGCUCAAACUUACAGCAUAUACUCUAGACAAUUAUUUUUAUAAGUCUUCAAAUUUUGAAUCAUAGAUCUAUUACCAAAUUCAUGAAAUUCUCUAAAUUAUUAUAUCCUUUUUUAUUUCAUAGAUUCUAUAGUCACCUAAAAGAAGUGUGACUUUACAAAGCUCUUACAAAAUCAUUACAUACUCAAAUCACUUAAAAUCAUGCCUAAAGAAACUUUUUUAAGUCUAUUCCUUAAUCCUACUUAUUGAUCUGCAAAAAAAUCCCCAAAUUACUAUAGGUACCUAAUUUUAUGCCUCAAGGUCUGAUUUCAAUCCAUAUUGAUAACUGGUCCUCUCCAAGUAUCAAAUUUUGCCCUUUUGAGUUAAUUAUUGCUAAAAUCAAUUCUUUACUUCCUUAUACUUAUGCUCAUAUUCUUUAUUUUUCUAAUCUACUUUGUUUUUUUUUUAUUUAUUUAUUUAUGAACUUACUAAGUAAAUAGAAGCUUACUUUGUAAAAAAGUAGCAUUUACAUCUUUAAUUUUACCUUCUUUUUGGACUAUUGUCUAUUUUUUAAGAUAAAUUGUUAUAAUAUUUGAAGUAAGAUCUUCUAUAAUAUAAUAAUUUUUUCACCCUUUUUACCUAUUAGUCAUAUUAUAUCAUGACAUUCACCCCCUAAACUUGUGCAUCUUCCAACAUGUGCCAAUGAUUCUUUAAUAUAUUAUUAAAGUAUUCUUUAUCAUGGUUAGAUUCUUGAUCUUCAAUUUUCUCUUCUUCUUCUAUCUUAUUGUCUUGUAAUGGAUUUUAUUCUUCGUCAAAAUUAAUAUUUUUAUCUCUUUGUUUAAAUAACUUGAUUAUCUUCUUUACUAUAGGUAUCUUUAUUUUUGUACCAUUAAGUUCUUAUAAAAAGUAUGUUCUAUUGUUGUAUACUUAUUUGACAACAUAAGGCCUAAACUAUCUUCUUGUAAAUUUUUUUAUCGUGCUAUAUUGGUUGUCCAAACUACUAUCAUAAACCAACAUCAAAUCAUCAUUUUGAAUUAGUUUUGGAUAUAAUUGAUGUUUUUUGUCAAAUCUUUCUUUGUUUUUCUCCUUUUCCUCUUUGAACUUCUUUAUAGCUUUCUCAAUGUCCUCAAAUUUUCUUUUAAGUUGUCAAGUUUGUAAUGCUAAUAAUUCUUUUUUUCUUAAACCAUCUUCUUGAGGUAAUAUAUUCUAUAUUGGCAUCAUUGAUUUUUGUCCAUACAUCAAUUCUGCUACCAUGUAUCAUAUAAUUGUACUAUGAGUUAUGUGAUUCGUCUAUAAUGCAAAUGAUAAUAACUUAGGCCAAUCACCUAUCUUGCCUUUGCAUACUUUAAUCAAUGCUUUAACAAUUGGAAAGUGUCCACAUUCACUGUUGUUAUUUUUUUUUAGAUUAUAUGUGGUUGUUACUACGACUUUAAUACCCAUCUUCUCAAAGAAUUCUCCUACUUUAUUUGCAUCUAAUUUCCUUCUAUCUAUAGUAAUUUUUCUAAUAUAAUCAUAUUGACAAAUAAUUUCCUCUAAUAUAAACCGAUAUACCUCUUCCAAAGGCUUUGUUCAAAAUGCUCUUCCCUCCACUUGAUUUAUCAAAUUCUCUUCAGUAAGUAUCAAAUAUUUCUUUUGUCCAAAUUCCAUUGGUAUUACAACUAAAUCAACUAUCAAUUUCUAGUGAAUUGCUAAUGGAUAUGUUGGAUGCAAUCCAUCUCAAUGACAAAUGUUUGAAUAUAUUUGACAAAUCUCACUAGAUCCUAUAAAAUCUGCCAUAUUUUUAUAUAUGCCCUUUCACCAAUAUUUUUCUUUUACCUUUGCAAAUAUUGCCCAAAUGCCUCAAUAUCCGGCCUAUCAACUUUCAUGAAAUUCUUUAAUGAUAUUUAGUUGAGUAUGAUAGCUACAUAUAAUCCAUUGUGGCACUCCGCUCCUUUGCUUUGGAUGCUUCUAUAAAAAUCCAUCUUUAAAAAAAUAUCUAUAAGCUUUCCUCCAAAUUCUUUUAAACUUAUAAUUUGCCAAAUCUUCUUGCUGCUUUAAUGUACUUAAGUACUUUUUAAUAUGCAACCAUUCACCAUCAUAUAACUCUUUUGAAAAUAAUUCAAGUAGUUUAAUUAAAUACAACUCAUUCCUUCUUGCACACAAAGUUGAAUAAAAGUCCGUGCCAAUAUUUUCUUCAUCAUAUCAUGCUCAUGACAACAUGUCUGCAAGCACAUUAUCUUUUUUAAAAAUAUGUUUGAAUUCUGGAUUCAUAGACUUUAUUUAUAUAAUCCAUCUUAACAUUGAUAUAUCUGAUGUAGAAUAAUUACUAAUCAUGCCUAAUAAGCAUAAACAAUCUAUUUCUAUAGCUAACAAUGUAUCAAUCAAGUAUUCUUUUUUAUUUUUCAUAGCCAUUACUAUACAUUAUAAUUUUUUUUUAACUUGUGCAUAUACCUUCUGCUUAGCAUUCAAAAUCUUUGCUUUAAAUCUUACUACAUAUUUAUUUCUUUGUUCAUCAUCUUGUCUAACUAUUCAACCUAUUUCAAUUAGACUCAUAUCAACUGUUAAUAUCACUGACCUUCGACAUUCAUAAUUUACUUUCUUCAAAGUUAGAGGUGAAGAAAGAAGUUCUUUCAAUUUUUUCAUAGUUUUUUUUUGUUUCCCUUUCUAAUGAAAUUUUUGAUUCUUUUGUAACAACUCAUCUAAUGGAUCUGCUACAUAUGCAAAAUGAGAUAUUCAUAUAUAAUAAAAAAUACAUGCUCCUAAAAACCUUCAAAUUUCCGUUGUGUUUAUGCAUUCUUUCAACUUUUUAAUAAUAUUAAUAUUUUUCAUACUUGGCUUGCGUCCAUAUCAUCCACACAUGUAUCCUACCACCAAAACUUUUUUUUAUCCCAAAUAUUGAUUUUGUCCCUGAUAAGAUUAAAUAAUUUUUUUCUAAUCUUGUCAAAAUCUUCUCAUAAUCAUCAAUAUGAUUUGCCACAAACUUCCUACAUCCUAUUGAAUCCAAUAUCUCAUCUUUUUUUUCUUCUUAACAUCCUUUAAUAGUACAUCAUCUAAAAAAUAAAUUAUUAUUUUUAAAAUAAAUUCUCUUAAUAUCUUAUAUAUUCUAUUCAUUAUGUGUGCCAUAGAAUUUGUAACCCCUUGAGGUAAUAUACACAUUCUGACUAAUCCUAAUGGUGUCUUUACAAUUGUUAAAUUCCUACUUUGCAUUGCUAAUUGAAAUUACUCAUAAUCUAAAUAAAGAUUACUUAUUAAAUAGAUAGCUCUUCUAGCAAAUGCUUCUACAAAUUCAUCCAUAAUUGGACUUGAAUCCAUAUUUCUAAUAGUCACUUUAUUCAUAAGUUGGAUGUCUUAUAUAAAUCUCAUUGUUUUAUUUUUCUUUGGCACUAUAAAUCAUCAAUUAAAAUAGGAUACCAUUGAUAGUUCUAAAAUCCUCAUUUUAAUUUUUUUAUUGAGUAAAUCUAUUAGCUUAGAUAAAUGUGCUCUUGGUACUAAAAUUAGUCACAAAUUUCAUAGUUCAUGAGGAAUAGUAAAAAAAACCAUAGGUGUUGCAAUACUUAGAUCGACAUAUCUAAUUUCAUGUGCCUCCAAUGCAGAAGCCUUUCUAUGUCGUCUAAGGAUAUCUUUAAAAUAUAUUUUUUCAAAUUUUGUCAAAAAUCCAUCAUAUCCAACAUUUAAUCCAUGUAAUGUAGUAUCCGUAAAUUCAUGCCCUAUCUUCCUACGAUCCUUUAAAUUUAGUUGUGUAGAUGCUCCAUUUAUCCUUUCUUCAUAAUCUGGUAGUAGUGGCAAAGUCAUUGGUUUGACAUUUUUUGCGAUUGAUUAUACUUAAUUUCAACAUAUUGUUGUGACGUAAUAUGACUAUAUAGAGAAAUUAUAAUCAAAAUUAAAUUUUUAAUUAAUAUGUAAUUAUCUUAGUUCAAUUAUAAUUUUAGGUGUAUAAACAUGGCUUUCAUAAAAGCCUCUUAGGUUAUUUUCUUAUCUUAAUAGUUAAUAAGUUGAAAGUUGGUUAGUAAUUUUACCUUCUAGAUUGUAGAGACACUUCUACUACCUUAAAAAGCCCAUAAAUUGAUAAAAUCAGGUUAAAAGAGGUAAAUAAUUAAUAUAGUUGGUACUAGGAUUAAGUUGAAAGUAGGGUUGGACUAAAAAAUCUUUAGGAUAGGUUAAAUUGAUACCCGGGGGUCGGCCAUUUGUGAGACAAGGUUGAAAUCAGACCUCUCACCACAAAAAUGACGGCCUAGGGCAAAAUAAGGAUUCACUCAAAGAUCGAAGGAUAGUAUUUGAGAGCUAGCUUGAAGUUCUUUCUAGAGACAUAAGGAUUUUUUUUGGAAGGUUUUUGAAAAUUGAGAAAUUGUUCAAAGUCAGGGUUUGUAUUGGUGAUUUGGGUUUUAUAGAAUAUAACUAGGGAUAGCAAUUUUGGCUAGUUCAUGUAAUUAGUCUCACAUCUAUGGUUGAAAAUUUGGUACUAUUUGGAUUAUUAGGUGUGCUAAGUGUAUACAAAAUUUUGUGAUAAUCUAAUGGCGUGCUUUAGAGAUAUCUAGUUUUUAGUGUAAGAGGGUUUUGGAAGUUGGCAGUUUAAGGUUGGGUAGGAUUUUUGUGAUAUAUGGAGAUCAAUGAAAUGGAUUAAGGUGAAAUUUUGCAUGGUAUUGAAGGACUUGAAGAUCAAAUUGCACACCAAUUUUGAGUCAAAGUUAAUGGUUGGAAAGGGAGAAAUCACUACUGGGAUUUCUACUUCACUUUUUAAGUUGGUGGCCAAGUGACAUCAGUGCAAAUUUCGGAGGUUUUCUCACAAUUUAUAAGUUGGAUUGGGCUAAAAAUUCUUGAGCAUAUAGAAGACUUACAUUGACUAUUGCAUGCAAAAUUCCACAUCAAGUGGACGGUCGGAUUGGAUGUUAUAGCUUAUGAAAGCUCACUAAUUAUAGUUGGGGCUUAUAAGAAAAAUCUAAAUUACUUAAAUAUGAAAGUAACAAGAUAAUUGGGAUUUAUGUAUGAUUAAGGCUAAUAAGAAGAGUAUUUUUAGCACUUUUGAAUUGAAAUUCAAAUUAUAUUCUUCUUGUAUGGAUGAAACCUAUUAGGAUUCUUGAAUUCUUGUGAAACACAACCUCACCUUCCACAGUUAGGUGCCUGAUGCAUUCCCAAGGAAGACAACACAUAAUAUGAUAAUAUACCUCUUGGCAAUUUAAAUUUUCUAUAAAUCUAUAGAUUUCAUCAUAAAAUUCUUUAGAACAUACAUUAAUACAUUUAUUCUCUCCUUGCAAUCUAUCUUGCGACAAAUAAUUUAAUUUUCCCAAGAUAUCUGCAAAUGCCACUUCUUCAAAUGUUCCUAAAAUAAAUUCAUUUUCAAUCAAUUCUCCAUUUUUUUUUUCCAAUUUUUGCUCAAUAUUUUUAACAUAUUGUUUAUCCAUCUUCUUCAUCUUAUCAAUAUUCUUAAAAGAUAAUACACAAUUUGGUGUCAACUCAAUCAGCCUAGUAAAUAAUAUUUUCUUUUUAUACUUAGAGGGAGCAUCUUUUUUCUUAACCCAUUGCAAUCUUGUUUUAUAAUGGUGUGGUGAAAAUCCCUCACAUGUUCACCUCUAAAUUCUCUAGUAACCUUUGGCAAAGGUUGCUCUCUCAAACUCCCACAAUUUUUGUCAUGAUUAGCACAUACUGUCCAAAAUUGCAUCAUUUUUGUUCUAUCUUGAUUCCAAGCAUAUGUCAAUCUAUUGUCCUUAAUCUUUGUUUCCAUGCAAGUAGCCGUAAUAUAAGGUUUUUUUAGAAUGAUAGGAUAAGUAGACAUAUCUUGCACAAAGAAGUUUUUCUCAUCACUAAUAUCUCCUAUUAUAACCUAUUAUAUUGAGAAAAGACAUCCUUCUAGAGUGGAUCUCACUGAAAACUUAAGACAUAUGUGCCCUAAGGUCAUGGUCGAAUGUCUCAGCUGUGGGGCAAAGAUCCCAAUGAAGUCCAGCCUGAGCGAUGCCUUGAGGGUAGUAUAUUCAUCCCUGUAUCUCCAUCAGUAUUUCCUGCUUUCCAGGCUUGUAAUUCGUGUCCUGCCUUAUCCCCAGUCCAGAUAGGUGCAUAAACUUUCUUCUGGGUGAUAAGUAUAUUGACUGAUGCCGAACAUUUGCACUGUUUAGCCAGGCUGGUCCUCGCAUCUGCAUUGGCAUCAAAUCGGCGGCCUUGCAUAUGAAGAUGGCCACGGCAGAUUUUUAUGUCGGUUGUCAAGUUCAGAAUUGAUGCGUGGUCACCCUGUGGAUUGCCAACCGACCGCCAACUUUUCCAUACAAAAAAGAACUGCACUGGGUAGAGAGAAGGCAAUGUUUAAAUAAAUGUGUCCCUCGUUUGUUUCUACCCCGCCUUCAUCACAAUAACAAACUUCGUGUGUAUCAGAAUUAGUUCGGAGUUAUGAAAUUUGUAUCUUCAAGCACAAAAAUAGUUCGUGAAAAUCUAACAAAUUUUUAUUUUAUUUAUUUAAUUAUUAAUAACUUGAAUGUGAAUACUAGAUAAUGCUCUCCAGCUUGUAAAUGUCCAUUGUUUAUAUUUUCAAUAUUUAUGUAUACGUGCCAUUCAUUAUACGUAUAUUGAAAAUAUUUAUGUAUACGUGCCAUAUACAAAAGCAUUAUUAAUUGUUGAUUCAGGGUAAUUUAAAAUUAGCAUAUGCUUGGAAGACAACAUAUACUAAAUAAUCCGUACACGGGUUUAGGAACUUACCUCUCAACUGCAAUACAUCGGAGCAAAAGAUGGAUAGCAGAAUAAAAAAGGUGGUUUACGGUGUGUGCUAUACCAAAGCUAUCAGAACUAGGGAAUUAAUUAUAGGGGACUCCCAUUGAAUUUACUGUGAAGGGAAACACUUGAACCUAUGACAAACAUAGAUGAGGAUGCAAUACAAGCUAAUCUUAUCAAAGUCCUCUAAUACUUAAUUACAGCUGGAUCAUAUUUGCUAAAAAUGAAAUAAUGAAUUUAUAGAACCAGAAUGUCCGGGAAAAAAUACGAUUCUAACAUUAUCUGACAUUGCCAACGAAGAAGCUUAAUCAUUCUAAGCAUUCUAGGUAAUGCUGAUCUUGACCAAUGUCAAUGCUUCGACCUACACAAAUAGUCUACAAUAAAUACCUGCUUUCAAUUACCAACUAAAAAAAAAAAAAUCCAGUGGGAGACACAACAGCAAAUGAAUUCAGAAGCCCUCAAUAUCCGUUCUGAGACAACAACACAGAUAUGUAUAUGUACACGAUUAUUCGUCUGAUAACCAACAUCCGUUCUAUCGAGAUUGUGAAGAAUCAACGAGGUGCUUAAGAGUGCAAGGCAUCUUGUUCCACAUAUUCGGUUAGCACAAAUUUUUAGAAGUCAGCCUCAUGAAAGAUAAAUCAAAAGAAACAGCAGGAACCACUUACGUUAAUUGUCAAGAACUCACACUUCCCAACAUCUUCCACAUCCCACCACCAGCAUUCGCAGGUUGAUGGAAGACGUUACGAGCCCACCUCAUGUAAUGUGGGCCACAAAGCCGACAACCCUCAUCUGACAAAGCAAUGCCCCAAGACAAUCUGUACAAAAGGGAUCAAUGCCAUCAUGUAACCGUGCCAUAAAAAAGAUCUUCCAACUUGACUCAUUCAAACCCUGCGAUUCCAUAUAUCCUUGUAAUCAACCAGGUGUCAGACAACGACAUCACAGCCAGCACGCGCAAUAAAAAGUAGGCCACAACUAUAUUCCAAGCAUAAUCGAGUAGCUGACAAAUGCAAACCAACGAACUUACCCCAAACGGCUUACUACGGCAGUACCCUGAAACCGUCAAAUUUUCCAAGGAAACUAUAACAAAGAAAUGUGUGUAUUUAUAUGAAUGCUCCACAGGCUUGAAAUUUUCAAACUACAUUGUACAUAGGACCAACCAGCAAAACUAAGGAUCAAUGUGUCUUCCUAAACCAACUAGAAGUACAUCGAGGAUUCCUUCCAACAAGAAGACCUACUGCAACUGAUCAAGCUCAACAAUGUCUGCACCACAUAUCACUUCCACCUCCUCCGUCUCCUACUCUCCAUUACCCAUCCCCCCUUCCACCCUCCAUUCCAAUCAUCACCAUCCACAUCCACAACUCUCUGCACGCCAAAAUGUAAUUCUCCAAUAAAUAUAACCAUAGCACCACCUCGUCCCUAAAUCUGUUCAGAAUCUAGUGAUUACCGUAUCUCUCUCCAUGGUGCACAUCUUAACCAUGUAGUCUCCACUACUUUACUACACAACAGAGUUCUGAAAAAAUCAAGUGGUAUCGGACAUUCCAAUUCCUACGCAACCAAAAUAAACACAGAAGACCGCCUCCUACCCACUGCUUCCUCUAACUCUCGGCCCUCCCCCUCCUCCCCUACCCCUUCUCCUACACCACACCUACUGGCAGGUCACUCCAUUCCCAUCCGACCACUCGAUCGGCUCCUCGCCGCCUGUGGCUCCACAUUUCUGGACCAUGGUCAUGCAGCCAAAAUCCUGCCGCCUUUACUUUAACACUAGGUCGACACGCCUGCGCCCAUCCCAACACAAUCCCAUCGUCAGCCCCGCAACACAAAUCCCGCCACAAAUCACCCUCCCACCACCACUUCCUUCACGCAUCGCACGCACCUACUACCCGCCCCACAUCUCUACCCAUCAUGCGCUACCUCGACACCGCUCUUACCACUACUCUCCACCAUCU
rnacentral:lncRNA from 1 species